rnacentral:lncRNA from 1 species
GUGGUUGCUGCGAAACAGGUUAUUUCUCUACUCUAUCCAUCACUGGACGGCUUGCCUGUUGCUUUCGAAAUGUGUCUUUUUGCUAUUUUAUUUCUCUGCAGCAGAAAUGCUGUCACGCAAAAUAGAGCAACGAAUUGUUUAUUGUAAAGCUUUAUGAACGCUUUGCAAUAAAUAAAAUAGCCUACCUGAAAACCCGACCGAGUUGUUUCUCGGAGUGAUCGGUGGAAACCUCCGUGAGGACUGAAUGAUCCAUGGACGAGACACAAACAUUUAGAGAUGGAGACUUUCAUCCAGAAAUCAGGCCAUCUACCAAGAUAAAUCAGAACCCAGU